AUGAACGCUAGCGGCAGGCCUAAUACAUGCAAGUCGAGGGGUAGAAGAGGCUUGCUUCUUUGAGACUGGCGCACGGGUGCGUAACGCGUAUGCAACCUACCUUGACCUGGGGGAUAGCCCGGAGAAAUCCGGAUUAAUACCGCAUAAAAUCACAGUACGGCAUCGUACAAUGAUCAAACAUUCAUGGGGACAAGAUGGGCAUGCGUGCCAUUAGCUAGUUGGCGGGGUAACGGCCCACCAAGGCUACGAUGGCUAGGGGAGCUGAGAGGAUGGCCCCCCACACUGGUACUGAGACACGGACCAGACUCCUACGGGAGGCAGCAGUAAGGAAUAUUGGUCAAUGGAGGCAACUCUGAACCAGCCAUGCCGCGUGCAGGAAGACGGCCCUCUGGGUUGUAAACUGCUUUUAUCCGGGAAUAAACCUAUCUACGUGUAGAUAGCUGAACGUACCGGAAGAAUAAGGAUCGGCUAACUCCGU
rnacentral:rRNA from 1 species